rnacentral:lncRNA from 1 species
AUGCCUAUACUUUUAAACCCUACGGAUGGAGCGAGCGUAAUGGAACCGCCCUUAAAUUACGUCACUGGACCGAACGACCGUUACCACUUAAACCAGUUUCGCGGUUUUCUAAAUUAUAUACGCUUGAAGGUGACAUUUAUGGAGCAGCUUGAUUCAGUGACACGGUCAACUUUACAAGAUGCAAACAUCAGCGCAGCAGUAUUACCAACUUUGUCACGUGAUGACAUUCGUGAUCUUUUCCCGGGACCAGAAAACUUUUUACGACGGAAAACCAUAUGGGAGACGUUUCAUAGAGACAAAGAGCAGGGACAGGAGGCAGGAUGCCUCAAUCAAAACAAGGAGCAGGAAGACACUGGUCUGACUCCUACUCAAACUCCGUCUGAAAUCCCAGUGACUACAAGGCACAGUAUCUUUGAGCCAAGUGGUCAUCCUCCAAGAACCUUAAAGUUGCCCAACCCUGAAUAUGUUGUUUACACUGACAGUGAGCUAGAACAUGUUAGAAAAGAGUAUUUUGAUCUGCAGCGAGUUGGGCAAGAAAGAGAUUGCAACCUUUCAAAAGAACUUCGUUGUCGACUUGUGAGGAACACAGUGACCAACAUGGUGUCUAUCAUGAGAGCAUCAAGCACUGACUUCAUGUACCCAUCAAAAAAUGACAUGCUUGCAAUGGCAAAGCGACUGGUUGAAUAUUAUCCCAUGCUUCGAGAUGACUCUGUGAACUGCAAACAUAUUUGGGAUUCCAUCUUCAAGCAAUUAAUGAAGAGACUCCAAAACAUAAGAACUCCAAAAAAGAAACAGGGUCCAACACCACAAAGAAAAAAGAAAAGGCGCUUGGAUUUUGACUACGAUGGUGAUUCAAGCUCUUGCACAUUAGAUUCAGCAGAAAGCAGCAGUGCUUCAGCUGUAAUGUUGGAAACAAGAGAAAGCAGCACACCACCAUCUGUGAGCACAAAACCACUUGCUGGAACAGCUGACCAAGAUUUACCAUUCAGUCAGACUGACAAUAGAAGAGAUGAAGACCAUUCUGACACUGAUAGUCAACAAAGCCAGGCCAGACAUUACCAUACUCUCCAAGAGAUCUAUAAAAGAUCAAAGCCUAAUAAAGAGGCAGUUGCUCAACUACUUGACCUUGAGUUUGAUGCUCGGAGAGCCUUCAUCAACUCAGACUGUUUCAAGGAUCAGGACAGACCUUCAAAGAUACUGCAAGCGUACCCCUGUUUCAGAGAACUACAACAUGUAAUGGAUGAACUGGGCCGAAUUCUUGAAAAAGGAAAUCCCAGAUUCAUCCCAAAACUAAAGGCCCGUUGGGAGAGCUUCUGCAGCAAAGCUCAAUUCUAUGGGGUUUACAAAAAGGUUUUGAAGCCACCAAUGACUCUAGAUGGAGUGAAACGCUCCAUAGCCUUGAUGAAGGCUCUUCCAGAGAUGUUCCCAUCACCUGUAGCCCCACCAAAAAAGAUGGGACAUCCAAGUGAAGCAAUGCUACACAUCCUUGAGCCAACAGAAAACCCAGAUUCUUUCCUCAAGGGGAGACCACUCUUCAGUCCUGUCCUGAUUGUGUCAGAGGACAACUGCAUGUUGGCCAUUGGGACUACACCUGUGACAAUCUUUCCACAAGAAGACCUCCACGAAGGUGUGCUCUACCUAAUGGCAUACUAUUAUGCACUUCAUCUUGUGUACCCAAAAAGUGUUGCAACUUUACUGUCUGUGCUUCAGACAGAGGUAAUUUCAGAUGCAAUACAUGGGCGUGAUGCAACUUCUUCCUACAAAAAAGCCACUUUGGAGUGGAAAAAGUUCAUUGGCGAGUAGUGAAAAAGUCAGACGUAUGUCUUACUAAUUGUUCACAGCAGUUGUGUUCAUCAGGUUCUUCUUAUAGACAGAAGUUGCUUAAAGUCUAAAACAAAAUAAAAAUUCAGUUUUUCUUGGUCUCUUUUUUUAUUAUAUAUAUAUAUAUAUAUAUAUAUAUAUAUAUAUAUUCACUUUCUCAGUGAUGUAUCUGUGUAACCUUGACUAAGCUACCAAGCUUUGUUUUAAUAGGCUUACCAAUUGCUGUGAUAUGAUGCAUUGCUGUAAUUUUUGAACAAUCAUUUGCUUUCCUUUUGCAGUUGGAGUUAAUAAAGAAAUAUUAAGAGCAUGUUUGUUGUACCAGAUUUAUUAAUUGUAUCUCCAUUUCAUAGCUUAUUUUUAGAAAUAGUCAAGAUUGAGGGGACGUUCACAUUAGUUAGUCUUGUUUUAAGACUUUAAAUACUUAUUUAAAACCAAACCUUCCCUCAAAAUAAGCCUGACACUCUUAAAAUGUGUAUAUAUUCUUAAAUCAAGAUAUUUUAAACCAAACCUUUCCCUCAAAAUAAGCCUGACACUCUUAAAAUGUGUAUAUAUUCUUAAAUCAAGAUAUUUUAAACCAAACCUUUCCCUCAAAAUAAGCCUGACACUCUUAAAAUGUCUAUGCGUAUUCUUAAAUCAAGAUAUUUUUACCAAGAGUAUUUAAAACUAACCACAAAUAAAACAUGAAAAAAAUACUAGAUUUUACUAUUUUUGCAUUGGUUUCAAGAUAUUUGUACUGCUUGAAUCAAGUUAAAAUAUCUAAAUUUACUUAAUUUUUUUCUUGUUUUAAGAACUUUUUUAUCACAAGUUUUUUUGUCUUGUUUCAAGAUGUCUUAUCAAGUAGAAUUUUCUCACCCCAUUGGCAGAUAAUUUUGCUUGAUUUUAGUGUUUUUUUCUUAAUUUAGGUUUUAUUUUCUUAUUUUUGUAUGUCAAUUUUUUGCAGUGCACAUCUCCCAACCGCUCAAAAUCAUCUAUUAACGGUGCAGUGAACAGAUUACACAAUACUAGACUGCAAAACAAAAGCACCCCAAAACAGAAACUCUAAAAGCAAUUAAAGACUUUGACUUAACACAAGAAAAACUUUAGAUUUUCUUACCUGACUGGUACCUCUUGCUCUCCUUCGCGCUGUCAUCAAAUGCAUUGGAAAUCGUCACUUCCGGGGUUUUUUUUUAUUACGAAAUUAAACAAUUUACGUUAGUUUAAUGAUUGCUAAUUAAGUAAAAUUGAAAAUUAAACCAUUUAAGUUGAUUAAGUACAAUACAAUUGUGUUUUGGCGGAAAACUAAAUAUAUUUGUGUUGUUUUAACAAAACAUCUGUGUAAAACGAACAAUGCCACAAAUCCAAUUUUUUGAGUGUACAGAUUUGACUGCUAAAUGAUAAAGAAUGAUGCACGGCUCCCAUGAAAAAAAAAUAGUGAAGACCUCUGACAGUCUUACAAAAAUGUGUUAUGUAGUAGAAUAUAAUGUUAAACUUUAUGUUAUGUAACAUUAUCACUGUUUACAAUGUAUCACUUGUAUUUUUUGGCUUGUUGUUUCUGAUUGCACACCUCCAGGGGGAAAUCCAGAUCAAAUCCCAGAAAGUAAAAUUAAAACAAAAUGAAGUUAAAACUUGUUUUGAACAAUUUAUUUGUCAUCUGAAUAUAGAUUUUUAUAUAGAUAUAUAGAAUGAAUAUAGAUUUU